UUAGCUGGUCUGAGAGGAUGGCCAGCCACACUGGAACUGAGACACGGUCCAGACUCCUACGGGAGGCAGCAGUGGGGAAUAUUGGACAAUGGGGGCAACCCUGAUCCAGCAAUGCCGCGUGUGUGAAGAAGGCCUGAGGGUUGUAAAGCACUUUCAGUGGGGAGGAGGGUUGAUUGGUUAAGAGCUGAUUAAUUGGACGUUACCCACAGAAGAAGCACCGGCUAACUCCGUGCCAGCAGCCGCGGUAAUACGGAGGGUGCGAGCGUUAAUCGGAAUUACUGGGCGUAAAGGGUGCGUAGGUGGUUUAUUAAGUUAUCUGUGAAAUCCCUGGGCUUAACCUGGGCAGGUCAGAUAAGACUGGUAGACUCGAGUAUGG
rnacentral:rRNA from 1 species